AUACAUUCAAGCAUUUUAGUUAGUACUUUGCUGGAAUGGCAUUGGGCAGAAGCUUUAUGGGAUUUAUUGCAGCUUGUAAAAAGUCAGGCAAGACUGAAACUGAGAUAUAUGAGGUGGUAGGAGCUUUGAAUACACAAGCUCUGUAUUAACUGUGUUGUAUCAUGAGCUUCUCACAAGUAUUGACGAGUGUUUGUCACAACCUACAGUCAUGGUGUGGGCACAUCCUCGUCUUUCAGUGCUGGCUGCUGGGCUGGAAGGAAAUGGUCCCACUCCCAGAUCUGGUCACAGUGGCUGGAACUGAGGAAGAGGGAACAGGAAACACAGCAGAGACAGGGAAAAAGAGGAGCUGGGCAUCAAGGAUGGGCUGAGGAGGGUCAUGCCAUGAAGGGUGUGAAAUGUAGUGGAGAAGGAACAGCAACUCCUUCUAUGUCCUGAUGGAAAUGAGUUCACAGAGAAGGAUGUUAAGUGGAAAUGUGCACAGCGAGGUGUGGUGGCACAGCGGUAUGGCUGGAAAUGCCACCUGCCAGGACAGCAAGAGGCAGCUUUUACUCUCAAGAUAGACAAGCUCAGCCCCAGAAGGCCUCCAAACUGGUCAUCAGGCUUGUCUUCUUGGAGGGCUGCACCGAGGAAACAGUUUGGCCCUCACUGUGCUGCAGAAUCAAGUUGUCAGGAAUUAAAGCAGUUGUAAAUGGAGCUCUUUGAGAGAAAGUUAUUCUACUGCAGCAGGGCUGUAUGGGCUAAAUUUAGCCAUUAAAAUCAACAG